GGGUUGUGAGGUUAAGCGACUAAGCGUACACGGUGGAUGCCCUGGCAGUCAGAGGCGAUGAAGGACGUGCUAAUCUGCGAAAAGCGUCGGUAAGGUGAUAUGAACCGUUAUAGCCGGCGAUGUCCGAAUGGGGAAACCCAGUGCAAUUCGUUGCACUAUCGUUUGAUGAAUACAUAGUCAAACGAGGCGAACCGGGGGAACUGAAACAUCUAAGUACCCCGAGGAAAAGAAAUCAACCGAGAUUCCCCCAGUAGCGGCGAGCGAACGGGGAGCAGCCCGGAGUCUGAAUCAGCUUGUGUGUUAGUGGAAGCGUCUGGAAAGUCGCAGGGUACAGGGUGAUACUCCCGUACACUAAAGCACACAGGUUGUGAACUCGAAGAGUAGGGCGGGACACGUGGUAUCCUGUCUGAAUAUGGGGGGACCAUCCUCCAAGGCUAAAUACUCCUGACUGACCGAUAGUGAACCAGUACCGUGAGGGAAAGGCGAAAAGAACCCCGGCGAGGGGAGUGAAAAAGAACCUGAAACCGUGUACGUACAAGCAGUAGGAGCCUCUUUAUGGGGUGACUGCGUACCUUUUGUAUAAUGGGUCAGCGACUUAUAUUCUGUAGCAAGGUUAACCGUAUAGGGGAGCCGCAGGGAAACCGAGUCUUAACUGGGCGUUAAGUUGCAGGGUAUAGACCCGAAACCCGGUGAUCUAGCCAUGGGCAGGUUGAAGGUUGGGUAACACUAACUGGAGGACCGAACCGACUAAUGUUGAAAAAUUAGCGGAUGACUUGUGGCUGGGGGUGAAAGGCCAAUCAAACCGGGAGAUAGCUGGUUCUCCCCGAAAGCUAUUUAGGUAGCGCCUCGUGAAUUCAUCUUCGGGGGUAGAGCACUGUUUCGGCUAGGGGGUCAUCCCGACUUACCAACCCGAUGCAAACUACGAAUACCGAAGAAUGUUAUCACGGGAGACACACGGCGGGUGCUAACGUCCGUCGUGAAGAGGGAAACAACCCAGACCGCCAGCUAAGGUCCCAAAGUCAUGGUUAAGUGGGAAACGAUGUGGGAAGGCCCAGACAGCCAGGAUGUUGGCUUAGAAGCAGCCAUCAUUUAAAGAAAGCGUAAUAGCUCACUGGUCGAGUCGGCCUGCGCGGAAGAUGUAACGGGGCUAAACCAUGCACCGAAGCUGCGGCAGCGACACUAUGUGUUGUUGGGUAGGGGAGCGUUCUGUAAGCCGUCGAAGGUGGCCUGUGAGGGUUGCUGGAGGUAUCAGAAGUGCGAAUGCUGACAUAAGUAACGAUAAUGCGGGUGAAAAACCCGCACGCCGGAAGACCAAGGGUUCCUGUCCAACGUUAAUCGGGGCAGGGUGAGUCGACCCCUAAGGCGAGGCCGAAAGGCGUAGUCGAUGGGAAACAGGUUAAUAUUCCUGUACUCGGUGUUACUGCGAAGGGGGGACGGAGAAGGCUAUGUUGGCCGGGCGACGGUUGUCCCGGUUUAAGCAUGUAGGCGGAUGUUCCAGGUAAAUCCGGAACGUUACUAACGCUGAGGUGUGAUGACGAGGCACUACGGUGCUGAAGUGACAAAUGCCCUGCUUCCAGGAAAAGCCUCUAAGCAUCAGGUAACAUCAAAUCGUACCCCAAACCGACACAGGUGGUCAGGUAGAGAAUACCAAGGCGCUUGAGAGAACUCGGGUGAAGGAACUAGGCAAAAUGGUGCCGUAACUUCGGGAGAAGGCACGCUGAUAGGUAGGUGAAGUGGUUUACCCAUGGAGCUGAAAUCAGUCGAAGAUACCAGCUGGCUGCAACUGUUUAUUAAAAACACAGCACUGUGCAAACACGAAAGUGGACGUAUACGGUGUGACGCCUGCCCGGUGCCGGAAGGUUAAUUGAUGGGGUUAUCCGUAAGGAGAAGCUCUUGAUCGAAGCCCCGGUAAACGGCGGCCGUAACUAUAACGGUCCUAAGGUAGCGAAAUUCCUUGUCGGGUAAGUUCCGACCUGCACGAAUGGCGUAAUGAUGGCCAGGCUGUCUCCACCCGAGACUCAGUGAAAUUGAACUCGCUGUGAAGAUGCAGUGUACCCGCGGCAAGACGGAAAGACCCCGUGAACCUUUACUAUAGCUUGACACUGAACACUGGUCCUUGAUGUGUAGGAUAGGUGGGAGGCUUUGAAGUGUGGACGCCAGUCUGCAUGGAGCCAUCCUUGAAAUACCACCCUUUAAUGGCUGGUGUUCUAACGUGGGCCCGUUAUCCGGGUUGCGGACAGUGUCUGGUGGGUAGUUUGACUGGGGCGGUCUCCUCCUAAAGAGUAACGGAGGAGCACGAAGGUCAGCUAAUCCUGGUCGGACAUCAGGAGGUUAGUGCAAUGGCAUAAGCUGGCUUGACUGCGAGCGUGACGGCGCGAGCAGGUGCGAAAGCAGGUCAUAGUGAUCCGGUGGUUCUGAAUGGAAGGGCCAUCGCUCAACGGAUAAAAGGUACUCCGGGGAUAACAGGCUGAUACCGCCCAAGAGUUCAUAUCGACGGCGGUGUUUGGCACCUCGAUGUCGGCUCAUCACAUCCUGGGGCUGAAGUAGGUCCCAAGGGUAUGGCUGUUCGCCAUUUAAAGUGGUACGCGAGCUGGGUUUAGAACGUCGUGAGACAGUUCGGUCCCUAUCUGCCGUGGGCGCUGGAGAAUUGAGGGGGGCUGCUCCUAGUACGAGAGGACCGGAGUGGACGCAUCACUGGUGUUCGGGUUGUCAUGCCAAUGGCAUUGCCCGGUAGCUAAAUGCGGAAGAGAUAAGUGCUGAAAGCAUCUAAGCACGAAACUUGCCCCGAGAUGAGUUCUCCCUGACUCCUUGAGAGUCCUGAAGGAACGUUGAAGACGACGACGUUGAUAGGCCGGGUGUGUAAGCGCAGCGAUGCGUUGAGCUAACCGGUACUAAUGAACCGUGAGGCUUAACCUUACAACGCCGAAG
rnacentral:rRNA from 1 species